rnacentral:rRNA from 1 species
GACAUAGGUGGCGAACGUUAUCCGGAUUUAUUGGGCGUAAAGGAUGCGUAGAUGGUAAAAUAAGUUAUUAGUCGAAGCUGGGCUCAACUUAGCGGAAGCUGGUAAAACUGUUUUACUAGAGGACAGGAGAGGUUGGCGGAAUUCUAUGAGUAGGGGUGAAAUCCAUUGAUCUGUAGAGGACCACCAAAAAAGGCGAAGGCAGCCAACUAUUCUGUUUCUGACAUUGAGGCAUGAAAGCGUGGGGAGCAAACCGG